CAGUCGCCACGGUAACACGUAGGUGGCAAGCGUUGUCCGGAAUUAUUGGACGUAAAGGGCUCGCAGGCGGUUUCUUAAGUCUGAUGUGAAAGCCCCCGGCUCAACCGGGGAGGGUCAUUGGAAACUGGGAAACUUGAGUGCAGAAGAGGAGAGUGGAAUUCCACGUGUAGCGGUGAAAUGCGUAGAGAUGUGGAGGGACACCAGUGGCGAAGGCGACUCUCUGGUCUGUAACUGACGCUGAGGAGCGAAAGCGUGGGGAGCGAACAGGAUUAGAUACCCGCGUAGUCCCUGUCUCUUAUAA
rnacentral:rRNA from 1 species